rnacentral:rRNA from 1 species
GAUGAACGCUGGCGGCGUGCCUAAUACAUGCAAGUCGAGCGAACAGACGAGGAGCUUGCUCCUCUGACGUUAGCGGCGGACGGGUGAGUAACACGUGGAUAACCUACCUAUAAGACUGGGAUAACUUCGGGAAACCGGAGCUAAUACCGGAUAAUAUAUUUAACCGCAUGGUUCAAUAGUGAAAGACGGUUUUGCUGUCACUUAUAGAUGGAUCCGCGCCGCAUUAGCUAGUUGGUAAGGUAACGGCUUACCAAGGCGACGAUGCGUAGCCGACCUGAGAGGGUGAUCGGCCACACUGGAACUGAGACACGGUCCGGACUCCUACGGGAGGCAGCAGUAGGGAAUCUUCCGCAAUGGGCGAAAGCCUGACGGAGCAACGCCGCGUGAGUGAUGAAGGUCUUCGGAUCGUAAAACUCUGUUAUUAGGGAAGAACAAAUGUGUAAGUAACUAUGCACGUCUUGACGGUACCUAAUCAGAAAGCCACGGCUAACUACGUG